UGACCUGCGGAAGGAUCAUUACUAGAGCAAAGGAUAGACAGCGCCCGCGGAGCUCGCUCCCGGGGCCACCUUACUCCGGUAGGGUUUAGAGUCGUCGGGCCUCUCGGAGAAGCUCGGUCCUGAACUCCACCCUUGAAUAAACUACCUUUGUUGCUUUGGCGGGCCGCCUCGUGCCAGCGGCUUCGGCUGUUGAGUGCCCGCCAGAGGACCACAACUCUUGUUUUUAGUGAUGUCUGAGUACUAUAUAAUAAUUAAAACUUUCAACAACGGAUCUCUUGGUUCUGGCAUCGAUGAAGAACGCAGCGAAAUGCGAUAAGUAAUGUGAAUUGCAGAAUUCAGUGAAUCAUCGAAUCUUUGAACGCACAUUGCGCCCUCUGGUAUUCCGGGGGGCAUGCCUGUUCGAGCGUCAUUAUAACCACUCAAGCUCUCGCUUGGUAUUGGGGUUCGCGGUUUCGCGGCCCCUAAAAUCAGUGGCGGUGCCUGUCGGCUCUACGCGUAGUAAUACUCCUCGCGAUUGAGUCCGGCAGGUCUACUUGCCAGCAACCCCUAAUUUUUUUAAGGUUGACCUCGGAUCAGGUAGGGAUACCCGCUGAACUUAAGCAUAUCAAUAAGCGGAGGAAAAGAAACCAACAGGGAUUACCUCAGUAACGGCGAGUGAAGCGGUAACAGCUCAAAUUUGAAAGCUGGCUCUUUUAGGGUCCGCGUUGUAAUUUGUAGAAGAUGCUUCGGGUGUGGCCCCGGUCUAAGUUCCUUGGAACAGGACGUCAUAGAGGGUGAGAAUCCCGUAUGUGACUGGGUGCUUUCGCUC
rnacentral:rRNA from 1 species